UACAAAAUUUACAAAUCAGUUAGAAUAUCUACAAUGAGACCAAAAUCCUCAGUACAAUCAAGGUUAUGCCCUAAAAUAGUAGAGCCAAAAUAAUGAAACCAAUUAUCCUUGAUAGUGUUGAAGUCAAGUUCUUUUCCCUCAAAAGCACGAUUGUUUCUUCUUUCCAAAUAACCAUAAAAAUGGUGAUUGGAAUAAGUCUUAGCAUUUUAUUUCUUCUGCUAAAACCCUCCCAGGCCAGUAAUUCAGUGGAGAUUGUCUCAGCCAUAACCCAGGAGGUGCCCAAAAGGCCAAGAACUAUGGACCAAAGCUGUCGUGAAACCAAUUAUCCUUGAUAGUGUUGAAGUCAAGUUCUUUUCCCUCAAAAGCACGAUUGUUUCUUCUUUCCAAAUAACCAUAAAAAUGGUGAUUGGAAUAAGUCUUAGCAUUUUAUUUCUUCUGCUAAAACCCUCCCAGGCCAGUAAUUCAGUAGAGAUUGUCUCAGCCAUAACCCAGGAGGUGCUCAAAAGGCCAAGAACUAUGGACCAAAGCUGUCGUGAAGUAGAGCAUCUGAGUAGCAGAUGAUUACAGGAUUCCAAACAAUUUUUGCAGAGAUAACUUUGUUUACAGUAGUAAUACCACAUUUCAUCAGGUUGUCCAGGGUGAGUAUCCUUUCCUUGGCAGCCUCCCAAGCAAAA